AAUAGAUACCCGGGUAGUCCACGCCGUAAACGGUGGGUGCUAGGUGUGGGAGACUAUCUACGUUUUCCGCGCCGCAGCUAACGCAUUAAGCACCCCGCCUGGGGAGUACGGCCGCAAGGCUAAAACUCAAAGGAAUUGACGGGGGCCCGCACAAGCGGCGGAGCAUGCGGCUUAAUUCGAUGCAACGCGAAGAACCUUACCUAGGCUUGACAUAUACGGGAAGCAGGCAGAGAUGUCUGUGCCUUCGGGCUCGUAUACAGGUGGUGCAUGGCUGUCGUCAGCUCGUGUCGCGAGAUGUUGGGUUAAGUCCCGCAACGAGCGCAACCCUCGCCCUAUGUUGCCAGCGGGUAAUGCCGGGGACUCAUAGGAGACUGCCGGGGUCAACUCGGAGGAAGGUGGGGACGACGUCAAGUCAUCAUGCCCCUUACGUCUAGGGCUGCACGCAUGCUACAAUGGCCGGUACAAAGGGCUGCAAUACCGCAAGGUUGAGCGAAUCCCAAAAGGCCGGUCUCAGUUCGGAUUGGGGUCUGCAAC
rnacentral:rRNA from 1 species